CGGGGCUAAUACCGGAUACGACCAUUCCUGGCAUCAGGUGGUGGUGGAAAGUUUUUCGGCUGAGGAUGGGCCCGCGGCCUAUCAGCUUGUUGGUGGGGUGAAGGCCUACCAAGGCGACGACGGGUAGCCGGCCUGAGAGGGCGACCGGCCACACUGGGACUGAGACACGGCCCAGACUCCUACGGGAGGCAGCAGUGGGGAAUAUUGCGCAAUGGGCGGAAGCCUGACGCAGCGACGCCGCGUGAGGGAUGACGGCCUUCGGGUUGUAAACCUCUUUCAGCAGGGACGAAGCGCAAGUGACGGUACCUGCAGAAGAAGCACCGGCCAACUACGUGCCAGCAGCCGCGGUAAUACGUAGGGUGCAAGCGUUGUCCGGAAUUAUUGGGCGUAAAGAGCUCGUAGGCGGUCUGUCGCGUCGGCUGUGAAAUCUCGGGGCUCAACCCCGAGCCUGCAGUCGAUACGGGCAGACUUGAGUGCUGUAGGGGAGACUGGAAUUCCUGGUGUAGCGGUGAAAUGCGCAGAU
rnacentral:rRNA from 1 species